UAAAGGGGGAGGGGGUGGGGCAGGAGCUGCUUAGCAACCUGAAGGUUUUUUUUUUUAAAGGCAAGUCCUCCUUUUAACAGUAGCAGUUUUUAAAAUGCCAGUUUUGAGGAGUUAAAAAAAAAGAAUAUUAGAGACAGCAAAUGGGGAUGGCGGUAAAGGGACUGAACAAGGGAGGUGACGGCGCUUCCUUCAGAGGCACAUCAUCAUGGCGACCACGGGAGCCCAGCUGGGUGUCUGUGUAUGGGUAAGGAAACAGGCUCUCCCAGAAUCUCAUUAAGAAGCAAAAUGUCACCUGGAAAUCAGAGGGAAAAAGAAGAAAUGAAUCAGUGUAGACUGCCAAGAAGGUGAUAAAAGUUGACCAUCUGUUCCUCAGGUAGAAACCUAGAGAGGAAAAAAAAUAUCUUUGAAUGUACUUCCAGGAUAAAGUUCAAAUGCUCUCUACA